UACGUAGGGUGCAAGCGUUAAUCGGAAUUACUGGGCGUAAAGCGUGCGCAGGCGGUUUUGUAAGCCAGAUGUGAAAUCCCCCGGGCUCAACCUGGGAAUGGCAUUUGGGACUGCAAGGCUGGAGUGCGGCAGAGGAGACUGGAAUUCCUGGUGUAGCAGUGAAAUGCGUAGAUAUCGUCUGGAACGCAAAGGUGAAAACAGCUCGCUGGGGUUGUGCUGACGCUGAGACACGAAAGCCAGGGGAGCGAACGGG
rnacentral:rRNA from 1 species